CUUUCACAUCUGUCACAUGUGCUCAGGGUGAACCUGCUCUCAUCUGUGAAAAGCACAGGGCUCCAGUGGUGGACCUGCCAAUUCUGGUAUUCUUUAGCAAAUGCCAAUCGAGCUCCAUGGUGCUGGGCAGUGAGCACAGGGCCCACUAGAGGAUGUCGGGCCCUCAGGUCACCCUCAUGAAGUCUGUUUCUGAUUGUCUGGUCAGAGACAUUCAUACCAGUGGGCUACUGGAGGUCAUUUUGUAGGGCUCUGGCAGUGCUCAUCCUGUUCCUCCUUGUCCAAAGGAGCAGAUACCUGUCCUGCUGAUGGGUUAAGGAUAUUCUAUGGCCCUGUCCAGCUCUCCUAGAGUAACUGCCCGUCUCCGGAAAUCUUCUCCAUGCCCUUGAGACUGUGCUGGGAGACACAGCAAACCUUCUGGCAAUGACACGUAUUGAUAUGCCACCCUGGAGAAGUUGGACUACCUGUGCAACCUCUGUAGGGUCCAGGUAUCGCCUCAUGCUACCAGUAGUGACACUGACCGUAGCCAAAUGCAAAA